rnacentral:lncRNA from 1 species
AAAAGAAUAAAAUAUAUCAUAACAAGUAUCUAUUAGAAAUUUAAAAUUAGUUAAGGAAACCGUACUACGCAACGGAUUCAUUUAUCUUCUUUAUAAAUAAUUAAUAAGUAAUUAAAUAUAUUUUUUAUAAAAUAAAUAAUAAUAUAUUUUAAUUAAUUAAAUAAAAAAAAUUUAGAUAUAUUUUCACAUGCGAUUAAUUGUAUCAGAUAUGCAAUUUUUUAUUAUAAUAAUAAUGCUGAUCUUAACACCCGUUUGGAUUCAGAUUGUAAAUUCAUAAGUUUGUGUUUUAAUUAUAAUAAAAUUUUAAAAUAUAUAAUUAUUUAUGCCUAAUUUUUUAAUAUUUUAGAUUGUAUGUAUUGAAUAUUAAUUUUAAUUUUAUAAUUAUUUAGAUAUAAAUAAUCUAUUUUUAUAAAAAAGAAUACAAUUAAGUUUUU